rnacentral:rRNA from 1 species
CGUGACGCCGCGUGCAGGAAGAAGGUUUUCGGAUUGUAAACUGCUUUAGACAGGGAAGAUACAAGA